rnacentral:lncRNA from 1 species
GUGCUCCGGUGCGGCUGACGGGUGGGCCCCGGCUGGCAGUGGCAGCGGCUCGGAGGUUUCGUGAAGGUGGUCCGACGCGAUGGGGUGUGGGGAGCUGGGCCGGCGGGACGGGCAGGCCUCCGGCCUGGCAAGGGAAGGGAUGGCUUAGGCUGGCUAGGAGGUUAGGCGGGCUGGGUGGUUAGGCGGGCCGGGGGUGAGGUUUCCGCCCAUGCCAAGUUAGGUGGUUUAGGUUAGUCUAGUUUUUAGUUCAAAUUUGAAUCUAGAAUUCAAAUUAGAAUCGAUUCAAGUUAAAAUCCAAAUAAAGACCAAAUAAAAUCCAAAUGGCACACUAACAUUUAUUCAAUCUAGAGGGAUUUUGGGAGAGAUAAAAUGAAGACACUCUUAUAGUUUGGAAAUUUUCAUACCACCACAACAAAAAUUUUGAAAUUCACAUUUUAGCAAAUAUAAACAUCUCAUAAAAUACAGGAUGUUACAGUCUCCCCCCUCACAAGAAUGUCGUCCUCGAGAUUAAGGUCCUACCUCGUGCUUGAACAUGUGUGGGUACUUCUCUUUUAGAUCCGCCUCUUUUUCCCAAGUUGCCUAAUGUUCAGUAUGGUUGCUCCAUAGAACCUUGCAAUAUGAGUAGUGGUCCUCCUCAUUACCUUCUCAGCCCUAUCCAGAAUCUCCA